rnacentral:rRNA from 1 species
GACGAACGCCGGCGGCGUGCCUAAUACAUGCAAGUCGAGCGCAGGAAAUCGACGGAACCCUUCGGGGGGAAGUCGACGGAAUGAGCGGCGGACGGGUGAGUAACACGUAAGGAACCUGCCCUCAGGUCUGGGAUAACCACGAGAAAUCGGGGCUAAUACCGGAUGGGUCAUCGGACCGCAUGGUCCGAGGAUGAAAGGCGCUCCGGCGCCGCCCGGGGAUGGCUUUGCGGUGCAUUAGCUAGUUGGUGGGGUAAUGGCCCACCAAGGCGACGAUGCAUAGCCGACCUGAGAGGGUGAUCGGCCACACUGGGACUGAGACACGGCCCAGACUCCUACGGGAGGCAGCAGUAGGGAAUCUUCCACAAUGGACGAAAGUCUGAUGGAGCAACGCCGCGUGAACGAUGAAGGCCUUCGGGUCGUAAAGUUCUGUUGUAAGGGAAGAACAAGUGCCGCAGGCAAUGGCGGCACCUUGACGGUACCUUGCGAGAAAGCCACGGCUAACUACGUGCCAGCCGCCGCCGUAAGAC